rnacentral:rRNA from 1 species
AGAGUUUGAUCCUGGCUCAGGACUAACGCUGGCGGCGUGCCUAACACAUGCAAGUCGGACGGACUUCUACUUUAUAGCAAUAUGAGGUAGCGGUUAGUGGCGAACGGGUGAGUAACACGUAGAUAAUCUGCCUUUUAGACGGGAACAACUCCGCGAAAGCGGGGCUAAUGCCCGAUGAGACCACGUCCAGGGAUGGAUGCGGCCAAAGGGGGGGAGCAAUCCUCUCGCUAGAAGAUGAGUCUGCGUCCUAUCAGCUAGUUGGUGGGGUAAUGGCCUACCAAGGCGAAGACGGGUAGCCGGCCUGAGAGGGUGAACGGCCACACUGGGACUGAGACACGGCCCAGACUCCUACGGGAGGCAGCAGUGAGGAAUUUUCCGCAAUGGGCGCAAGCCUGACGGAGCGACGCCGCGUGAGGGAUGAAGGCUCUAGGGUUGUAAACCUCUUUUAUGAAGGAAAAAGGUUCAUGUGUUAAUACCAUGUGGACUUGAUGGUACUUUAUGAAUAAGCCCCGGCUAACUACGUGCCAGCAGCCGCGGUAAUACGUAGGGGGCAAGCGUUGUCCGGAGUUACUGGGCGUAAAGAGCGUGUAGGCGGUUGGAAAAGUCAGGUGUGAAAUGUUUCAGCUCAACUGGGACACUGCGCCUGAAACUUUCUGACUGGAGUUCGGGAGGGGUUGUCGGAAUUCCUGGUGUAACGGUGAAAUGUGUAGAUAUCAGGAGGAACAUCUGUGGCGAAGGCGGACAACUGGACCGAAACUGACGCUGAGACGCGAAAGCGUGGGGAGCAAACAGGAUUAGAUACCCUGGUAGUCCACGCUGUAAACGAUGAGUGCUAGGUGUAGGGGGUAUCGACUCCUUCUGUGCCGCAGCUAACGCAUUAAGCACUCCGCCUGGGGAGUACGGUCGCAAGAUUAAAACUCAAAGGAAUUGACGUGGCCCGCACAAGCGGUGGAGUAUGUGGUUUAAUUCGACGAUACGCGAGGAACCUUACCUGGUCUUGACAUGUAUGGAAUCUUUGGGAAACCCGAGAGUGCCUAGCAAUAGGAGCCAUAACACAGGUGGUGCAUGGUUGUCGUCAGCUCGUGUCGUGAGAUGUUGGGUUAAGUCCCGCAACGAGCGCAACCCUUGUUGCUAGUUACCAGCACGUAAUGGUGGGGACUCUAGCGAUACUGCCGGUGACAAACCGGAGGAAGGUGGGGAUGACGCCAAGUCAUCAUGGCCCUUAUGGGCUGGGCUACACACGUGCUACAAUGGCCGGUACAGAGGGUUGCGAAGCAGCGA